GAUAUGGCUCAGGAUGAACGCUGGCGGCGUGCCUAAUACAUGCAAGUCGAACGCUUCACUUCGGUGAAGAGUGGCGAACGGGUGAGUAAUACAUAAGUAACCUGGCAUCUACAGGGGGAUAACUGAUGGAAACGUCAGCUAAGACCGCAUAGGUGUAGAGAUCGCAUGAACUCUAUAUGAAAAGUGCUACGGGACUGGUAGAUGAUGGACUUAUGGCGCAUUAG
rnacentral:rRNA from 1 species